rnacentral:rRNA from 1 species
AGUGAACGCUGGCGGUAGGCCUAACACAUGCAAGUCGAACGGCAGCACAGUAAGAGCUUGCUCUUACGGGUGGCGAGUGGCGGACGGGUGAGGAAUACAUCGGAAUCUACUUUUUCGUGGGGGAUAACGUAGGGAAACUUACGCUAAUACCGCAUACGACCUACGGGUGAAAGCAGGGGAUCUUCGGACCUUGCGCGAUUGAAUGCGCCGAUGUCGGAUUAGCUAGUUGGCGGGGUAAAGGCCCACCAAGGCGACGAUCCGUAGCUGGUCUGAGAGGAUGAUCAGCCACACUGGAACUGAGACACGGUCCAUACUCCUACGGGAGGGAGCAGUGGGGAAUAUUGGACAAUGGGGGCAAGCCUGAUCCAGCCAUACCGCGUGGGUGAAGAAGGCCUUCGGGUUGUAAAGCCCUUUUGUUGGGAAAGAAAAGCAGCAGGUUAAUACCCCGCUGUCCUGACGGUACCCAAAGAAUAAGCACCGGCUAACUUCGUG